rnacentral:rRNA from 1 species
UAUGUGAUCGUCUCUCGCAUAUCAAUAGCGGAGGAAAAGAAACUAACAAGGAUUCCCCUAGUAACGGCGAGUGAAGCGGGAAGAGCUCAAAUUUGAAAUCUUAAAGGGUUUCCCUUUACGAAUUGUAGUUUAAAGAAGUGUUUUCUGUUGAGGUUUUGGUAAAAGUUCUUUGGAAUAGGACAUCAUAGAGGGUGAGAAUCCCGUAUUUGACCUUUACUUUCAACUUUGUGAUACACUUUCAAAGAGUCGGAUUGUUUGGGAAUGCAGUCCAAAAUGGGUGGUAAAUUUCAUCUAAAGCUAAAUAUUGGCGAGAGACCGAUAGCGAACAAGUACCGUGAGGGAAAGAUGAAAAGAACUUUGAAAAGAGAGUUAAACAGUACGUGAAAUUGUCAAAAGGGAAGCGUUUGACACCAGUGUUGUUUUUCUGAAAAUCAAUUAAAGAACUGUUUAUGCUAAGCUGUUUAGACUUUAUCAGCUAUCUGUUUAGUUUUGAGCUUUUCUUUAAUGCACUUUUCAGUUAACAAGUCAACAUCAAUUUCUUUUGCUGUAAAAAAGCUUGAGGAAGGUGGCUUGAGAUUCGUCUUAAGUGUUUAUAGGCCUCUUGCCUAUGCAGUCGGAGAGAUUGAGGUCUGCAGCGUAGAUCCUUCGGGGCUAAAUGCAUUUGUGCUAAGUUAUAACAUUUUAUAGACAACUUGUUGACUAUGAUUUGUCUUGUAGCUUACUCGCUUAUGUUAUUUUACCUACGCUUAGGAUGUUGAAGACUCUACAGAGAU